AUCUUCCAGCCCCUGUAAUACUCUCAAACCACCACCCCAAAGGCCCAAACCGUCCUCAUCCUCAUUCCGGUAUCUUCAUUCCCUCUACAGUUCGUUUGCUGCUGUUGGGACCAAGAAACUCUCUACAGUGCCGUCGGGCACCAUCUUCUUCAUCCAAUUGAAAAAUCAUACAUAUAAAGCAUAUUUCCAUUUUCCAAGCCGACAAUUCGACUCAGUAUGCAACAAAUUCCCAAAUUCUAAACACCCAUAUGAUUUUCUUACAAUAUGGAGCUCUUUACUUUCGACAACAGUCGCCUCAACAACUUACCCUCUUCUUUACUCACUUCGCCCACCAAGUGUUUGAUGAAAUGCCUGAACCAACGCCCGCACUCUUUUUCAAACCCAUCUUCUUUGCUUAUCACAGCAGCCAAAAAGAAGUCUCACACCCCUUCUUCACAAGGCAUCCAAAAGUCUACUGAGAAACAAUUGUCUCGUAUUCUAAGGUCAGAGGCUGCCAUUGAAGCCAUUGAGAGAAAAGCCAACUCAGCCACUGUUAAGCAUACCCGGUUUUCGCCAAAACUUGUUUUGGAAGCUUUGGAUAAUGCCAUUCGCCAUAGACGAUGGGAAUCUGCUCUUAAGAUAUUCGAUCUUCUUCGUAGUCAACAUUGGUACGAGCCAAGAUGCCAAACAUACACAAAGCUAUUGAUUUUACUAGGAAAAUGCAAGCAGCCCAUGAAAGCUGGCUUGCUUUUUGAGUUGAUGUUGCAGGAUGGGCUUAAGCCGACUAUCGAUGUUUAUACCGCACUCGUUAGUGCGUUCGGUUACUCUGGACUCCUUGACAAAUCGUUAGAAAUCAUUGAUCGAAUGAAGUUGAUACCCGACUGCAAACCUGAUGUGUAUACAUACUCGGUUUUAAUAAAUUGUUGCACUAAGCUUCGCCGAUUUGAUAUGAUUAAGCGUAUUCUUGCUGACAUGGAAUAUUCGGGAGUCGAAUGCAGCAUUGUGACGUAUAAUACUAUUAUUGAUGGGUAUGGGAAAGCGGGAUUGUUUAAAUUGAUGGAAAAUAUGUUGACGGAUAUGCUUGAGGAUGGGAUGUGUCUUCCAGAUGUUUUCACGUUCAAUUCGGUUAUUGGUGCUUAUGGUAAUUUAGGUAUGAUUGUUGAAAUGGAGAAGUGGUUUGAUGAAUUUCAACUGAUGGGGAUAAAACCGAAUGUGAUGACAUUUAAUAUACUAAUUAAGUCGUAUGGGAAAGUGGGAAUGUACGACAAAAUGGGGUCGGUUAUGGACUAUAUGAGUAAAAGGUUCAUUCCUCCAACUGUUAUUACUUUCAACGUGAUUAUCGAAGCGUAUAAAAGGGCGGGAAAUAUCAAGAAAAUGGAAGAGGUUUUCUUGAAAAUGAAGCAUCAAGGAUUGAAACCUAAUGCGGUUACGUAUUGUUCUCUUGUGAGUGCGUAUGGUAAAGCUGGACUUAUGGAAAAGAUCGAUUCAAUCAUGAGGCAGAUAGAGAAUUCUGACGUGAUUCUCGAUACAACGUUUUUUAAUAGCGUCAUCGGCGUGUAUGGUCAAGCACGCGAUACGAAAAAAAUGAGUGAAAUGUUGUUGGCAAUGAAGGAUAGAGGCUGUGAACCGGAUGACGUUACGUUUGCUACUAUGAUUCAUGCCUACAAAGCAAUGGGAAUGGCGGAUGCUGCUCAAAAUUUGGAGAAUAAGAUCUUUAUGACCGAACAUGAUCCAGGAACACGGAUGAUUGAGGGCUAAUAUGAUCAUAUAUAAUGUGGAUGAUAUGUUUUCAAAGAAGGAAGACAUGAUAAGUUCACUAUCACUGCAUCUUGCCCGAUUGAACUAUGAGCUAUGGGGGAACAUCGAACAUUAGGGUUUAACGUUCAAGAGUUUGCCCCAGACGCCACCAUCGUUUCAGCUGGAUUUUAUGCUGCAAAGGGCGAACCACUUGCAUGCUGUUAUUUCUAGAUGUAUUGACGAUCAAGAAACAAUUUUUGCCCUAAUAUGGGACCCGUAUUUUCAGAUCUGCAAUCACAAUGGGGAUCAUAUGCUUUUCAGGAAAUAAAAAAGAAGGAAAAGCGCUGAUUGGUAACCACCAUUGCAGAAAGUGGGACCAAAAAUGUUUCUACAGCAACAUCUUGUCU